GUGCUUAACACAUGCAAGUCGAACGAAGAGAGAUUAGCUUGCUAAUUGAACUUAGUGGCGGACGGGUGAGUAACGUGUGGGCAACCUACCUUAUACAGGGGAAUAAUCACUGGAAACGGUGACUAAUACCGCAUAAUAUUGCGAUAAGGCAUCUUUAUUGACAAAAGAAAAGGGAGACAAUUACCGGUAAAAGAGUGGGGCCCCGCAUCUGAUUAGCUAGUUGGUGAGAUAACAGCCCACCAAGGCAACGAUCAGUAGCCGACCUGAGAGGGUGAACGGCCACAGUUGGGACUGAGACACGGACCCAAACUCCGUACGGGAGGCAGCAGGUGGGGAAUAUUGCACAAUGGGGAAACCCUGAUGCAGCAACGCCGCGUGAAGGAAGAAGGUUUUCGGAUCGUAAACUUCUAUCAAUAGGGACGAAGGAAAUGACGGUACCUAAAUAAGAAGCCCCGGCUAACUACGUGCCAGCAGCCGCGGUAA
rnacentral:rRNA from 1 species